UACGGAGGGUGCGAGCGUUGUCCGGAAUCAUUGGGCGUAAAGGGCGCGUAGGUGGCCCGGUCAGUCCGUGGUGAAAGCGCGGGGCUCAACCCCGCGUCGGCCAUGGAUACUGCUGGGCUGGAGCACUGUAGAGGCAGGCGGAAUUCCGGUGUAGCGGUGAAAUGCGUAGAUAUCGGAAGGAACACCAAUGGCGAAGGCAGCUUCCUGGCCCAAUACUGACGCUCAGGUGCGAAAGCGUGGGGAUCAAACAGG
rnacentral:rRNA from 1 species